UGCCCUUUCGGGUGCCCCUUCCCAAUUAGGCCACUCACGCACCGAGAGGUCCAGCAGGAGAUCUUUAUUGUAGGGAGGCGAGCAGGAGGCAGGAAGGCAGAGAGAGAGAGAGAGAGAGGAGGAAGAAGAAGCAGAAGGAGAGAGAAGAACAAAGAAAGGAAGGUCUUUUAUCAGUUUUGGGGUGGGCUAUUGCUUAUUUAUGAGGAGUGAGCUACUUUUAACCUAUCACAGGCCAGAUUGCUUUUAUGGGCCCAGUCCUGCAGACACAGGUUUCAACUUUCCUGGACCACUGUGGCCUUGGUGGGGAGGGAAACCAGAGAUAAGGGCAUGAGGAGUGAGCUACUUUUAACCUAUCACAGGCCAGAUUGCUUUUAUGGGCCCAGUCCUGCAGACACAGGUUUCAACUUUCCUGGACCACUGUGGCCUUGGUGGGGAGGGAAACCAGAGAUAAGGGCAUGAGGUCAUUUUAGGAGUCAAGAUGUACCAGGAGAAUGUAGCCUGUGAGGCAGCGUCACAGCAUGCUUUAACAUGAUCAAUUCCCUAACAUUCCCCACUCUUUGAUUUUGGAUGACAAUCAACAGCCAACAUGUCCAUGGUAGGCGGAAAAAGGGGCGGAGAGUCUGUCUUCUGUAACUACUUCCUGCUGAAUUGGGGUGACGAAUCAACCUAGGGGGCGAGGGUUAGCCUGAUGUACAGUUGGCUGUGCUGUCAUUGGGCGUGGGUGAGCUGACAGUCAUUGGAGUUAUCUGUAAGAAAAACUUAAACAUACAGGUUGGUCAGUGAGGAGGGGAACUGAGGCUGGAUUUUAGUCAAGGGGAGACUCUAAGAACUGAGGUGAGUCAUUUUAGAAAUAAUGAAGAGUAAAAGGAAAGUGAAAGUUUCAAUUUUAUCUGGUGUGAACUGACAAAGGGAUCCCUGGAGCCAGGCCUCAGAGAACCAACUGGUUAUCUGCAGAACCGGACAAGGGUGUGGAGCCAUCCAACGUAGAUCAGGG
rnacentral:lncRNA from 1 species